rnacentral:rRNA from 1 species
AACGAACGCUGGCGGCGUGCUUAACACAUGCAAGUCGAACGGAAAGGCCCUGCUUUUGUGGGGUGCUCGAGUGGCGAACGGGUGAGUAACACGUGAGUAACCUGCCCUUGACUUUGGGAUAACUUCAGGAAACUGGGGCUAAUACCGGAUAGGAGCUCCUGCUGCAUGGUGGGGGUUGGAAAGUUUCGGCGGUUGGGGUUGGACUCGCGGCUUAUCAGCUUGUUGGUGGGGUAGUGGCUUACCAAGGCUUUGACGGGUAGCCGGCCUGAGAGGGUGACCGGCCACAUUGGGACUGAGAUACGGCCCAGACUCCUACGGGAGGCAGCAGUGGGGAAUAUUGCACAAUGGGCGGAAGCCUGAUGCAGCAACGCCGCGUGCGGGAUGACGGCCUUCGGGUUGUAAACCGCUUUCGCCUGUGACGAAGCGUGAGUGACGGUAAUGGGUAAAGAAGCACCGGCUAACUACGUG